rnacentral:rRNA from 1 species
CGGCCGGGGUCCUCCGUCUACUGCAGUCGACGAUGAACCACUUCGGUGGGGAUUAGUGGCGAACGGGUGAGUAACACGUGGGCAAUCUGCCCUGCACUCUGGGACAAGCCCUGGAAACGGGGUCUAAUACCGGAUACUGACCCGCUUGGGCAUCCAAGCGGUUCGAAAGCUCCGGCGGUGCAGGAUGAGCCCGCGGCCUAUCAGCUUGUUGGUGAGGUAAUGGCUCACCAAGGCGACGACGGGUAGCCGGCCUGAGAGGGCGACCGGCCACACUGGGACUGAGACACGGCCCAGACUCCUACGGGAGGCAGCAGUGGGGAAUAUUGCACAAUGGGCGAAAGCCUGAUGCAGCGACGCCGCGUGAGGGAUGACGGCCUUCGGGUUGUAAACCUCUUUCAGCAGGGAAGAAGCGAAAGUGACGGUACCUGCAGAAGAAGCGCCGGCUAACUACGUGCCAGCAGCCGCGGUAAUACGUAGGGCGCGAGCGUUGUCCGGAAUUAUUGGGCGUAAAGAGCUCGUAGGCGGCUUGUCGCGUCGGUUGUGAAAGCCCGGGGCUUAACCCCGGGUCUGCAGUCGAUACGGGCAGGCUAGAGUUCGGUAGGGGAGAUCGGAAUUCCUGGUGUAGCGGUGAAAUGCGCAGAUAUCAGGAGGAACACCGGUGGCGAAGGCGGAUCUCUGGGCCGAUACUGACGCUGAGGAGCGAAAGCGUGGGGAGCGAACAGGAUUAGAUACCCUGGUAGUCCACGCCGUAAACGGUGGGCACUAGGUGUGGGCGACAUUCCACGUCGUCCGUGCCGCAG